rnacentral:sRNA from 1 species
AAUAAAAACAUCUUUGAUUUCGCUGCAAAUAUUUUUGAAAUACGAAUAAAUAGGGAAGGGAGUUUUGUGAUGGACUGGAGUUUGGCAAUCGUUAUUGGCUGCCUUUUAUUGAUGGGCUAUUUUGUGUAUUUGGCGAUUACGGACUAAUGUUAAAAUAGGGGCGGAC